GCCUUUCUUGGCAACAUUAGUCCAAUCCUUAGCAGCUACACCAGUCCUCCAAUCAAAAUCCACAGUCAACGUAACUUCAGGCAUAUGAUCCGCCGCCCAGAAACACGCCAUGUAAUCCCCUUCCUCCGCCGCCGUAAACGCAAACUGCCCCAAUUCCACAUGAUCCGCGUAGUGAUAACUAUUCCCAUAACUGGAUGUCACCUUGACGGUGAGCUUGUGCGACUCCGGCAAGGGCUGGCCAUCGUGUGGAUUAACUAUGCUAUACUUGCCAACGGUCAUGGAAUUACUUUUGAUAUCCUCUGAAAUGCACUUAGUGUGCCCAGAUUGCAGAUCGAAGCGAACACAUUGUGAUGUAGACGAUAAAAUCCCGAGGAUUGUUAUUAUUACAAGAACAGAAACCUGUAAUCUAGCCAUUAUCGCAGUCCUUUUAGCAGAUGGGUUUUGGGUUUUGAUGAGAACUUAAAAGUGAAUCGCAGAGUGGCGAUCGCUUGGAUUCUCGCUUGGAUUCCGGGGACGGUGAGAAAAGGGGAACAAUACGUGGGUUAUGGCCAGGUGGUGUAAUUUCAUUGGAUCAGACACGUAAAUUUAGAAGCAUCUACUACUGUCAGCUCCUGUUGGUGUAGUGAUUU
rnacentral:misc_RNA from 1 species